rnacentral:rRNA from 1 species
UACGUAAGGGGCAAGCGUUAUCCGGAAUCACUGGGCGUAAAGGGUGCGCAGGCGGCUUAUCAAGCCAGGGGUGAAAGGCAUUGGCUCAACCCCUGUACGCCUUUGGAACUGAUAGGCUUGAAUGGAGGAAAGGUAAGAGGAAUUCCUAGUGGAGAGGUGAAAUUCGUAGAUAUUAGGAGGAACACCAGUGGCGAAGGCGACUUACGUGGACUGUAACUGACGCUGAAGGACGAAAGCGUGGGUAGCGAACAGGAAUAAAAACCCUGGGAGGCCACGCCGCAAACGAAGAAUACUAGGUGUCGGGCGUCAAAACUCGCCGCCGCAGCAAACGCAUUAAGUAUUCCGCCUGGGGAGUACGCACGCAAGUGUGAAACUCAAAGGAAUUGACGGGAACCCGCACAAGCAGCGGAGCAUGUGGUUUAAUUCGAAGCAACGCGAAGAACCUUACCAGGUCUUGACAUCCCUCUGAAGUAGCCUUAGCCGAGUAUGUCCUUCGGGACAGAGGAGACAGGUGGUGCAUGGUUGUCGUCAGCUCGCGUCGUGAGAUGUUGGGUUAAGUUCCGCAACGAGCGCCACCCCUAUGUUUAGUUGUCAUCACGGUAAAGCUGGACCCUCUAGACAGACUGCCGUGGAUAACACGGAGGAAGGUGGGGAUGACGUCAAAUCAUCAUGCCCCUUACGAUCUGGGCUACACACGUGCUACAAUGGUCGGUACAACGGGCAGCGAAGUCGUAAGAUGGAGCGAAUCCUAAAAAGCCGAUCUCAGUUCGGAUUGUGGGCUGAAACUCGCCCACAUGAAGUAGGAGUUGCUAGUAAUCGCGAAUCAGAAUGUCGCGGUGAAUGCGUUCCCGGGUCU